rnacentral:rRNA from 1 species
UGCCAGCCGCCGCGGUAAUACGGAGAGGGCAAGCGUUGUUCGGAAUCACUGGGCAUAAAGCGCACGCAGGCGGAUUGGAAAGUCGGUUGUGAAAGCCCGGGGCUCAACUCCGGAACUGCUUCCGAAACUUCCAGUCUAGAGGAUGAGAGGGGAGAGUGGAACUUCUGGUGGAGCGGUGAAAUGCGUAGAUAUCAGAAGGAACACCGGUGGCGAAAGCGACUCUCUGGCUCGUAUCUGACGCUGAGGUGCGAAAGCUUGGGUAGCGAACGGGAUUAGAUA